CAGCCCUGCAGGGGCUGCCCUGGUCCAGGCAGGGGGUGUCUUAAUCAGCACCCCCUGGCGACAGUGCACAGGGUUCCUUCUUGCAGCCCAAUGUUUCUUCAUCCAACCGCUUGUUUUAGUUGCUCUGGUUGGAAAGACGCUGGGGCCUGGGUGGGGAUCUUGUGAUGUGCAAGGCUGGCAAUUUUGCUGCCGGUUCUGGGCACCAUGGCAGUCUGCGCUGGGCCACUUAUCUCACAAUUGUGCCAGCGACCGGGGAGCCCUCCUAUCGGGACUGCACACCUGGGGUUUCCUCGAUGUUGGGUGUGGGUGAAGAAACCUCCUACCUGCCUGGCUGCCCAGCCCAGGGCACCCCAUCCCCACGCCCUCUGCCAAGGAAGCUGAUGGCUGGGCAGGCGCGGUGUCCCCGUUCCCUGGGCAGGCUUGGUGCUGCUGCAGGGAGCCAGACUGGGCUCCGGAGAGAGGGCCGGGCCGCUGUGCCUGGACCGUGGUGCUUUCUUUUCCCAGCUCUGGAGCGUGGAGCCAUUUCCACCUUCCUCUCAGAACUCCUGGGAAAAAUUCACAUUCCAUGGGGUUUUUUGUUUCAUUUUUGGGUUUUUUUUGAUACUGGGGAUUGAACUCACGACCUCGCACUUGCCAGGCAGGUGCUUAUGCCACUGAGCUAAAUCCCUGGCCCCUCCGCUUUCUUUUUUAAUCUGGGAAUUAGCAUUUGUGUGUUUUUAAACUUUCUAGACAAAGAUAAAAGGGAUCUUACUUUAUUUUAUUUUUUUGAUGGUAAGAAAACAAAAUUUCAUGAAAAUGUUAAUAUUGACCCAAUAUGAAACAAAAAUAGUCAAAACUAUGCACGUGACAUAUUGCACAAUGCUGGAACCCAGCAAGUGUCCUGUCAUAUGAGAAUCAUACUGUGCUAAUCUACAAACUGUGCAGAAACAAAUGGACUUUGUCAAAAAAAAGGGGGGGGGAUUUAAACAUCUACCUUUUCUUUGGUCUUGUGGAUUGAACCUAGGACCUUCACAAGGAAUUUUUUUUUUUUUGUACUGGGGAUUGAACUCAGGACCUGGCGCUUGCCAAGCAGGUGCUGCAUCACUGGACUAAAUCCCUAGUCCGUGAACUCUUUCUGUUUGAUUUUGAGACAGUCUUGCAAAGUCACUAACUUGUCCAGGCUGGCCUCAGACUUGUGGUCCUCCUGCUUCAGCCUCCUGAGGUGCUGGGAUUACAGGCGUGCACCAUCACAGCUGCCCGAGUCUUUGUUUUCAGCCCUGGCAGUUGUAUCAUCACCAUUCCUUCACGGCCAGACAGGGUCUCACGACGUAGCUCAGGCUGGCCUUGAACUCAUGGCAAUCCUCCUGCCUCAGCCCCCCAAAUGCUGGGGGUUGCAGUUUCCCUAUGCAGCCUAGGCUGGCCUGAAAUCAUGGUGACCCUCCUGCCUCAGCCUCCCAAGAGUGGGGAUCACAGGCCUGUGCAUCACAUCUGGCUGUUUUCCUGCUGCUGAGUUGUUUGUAUUCAGAAUGCCUCCCCGACUCUCAUGCUGUAUUUAGUAAGCUGAUUUCAAGCUGCUGGCCGCCUACAGCACUGCUCCUGUCUCAGCGGCCAGCAGGGCCCAGGAGACGCCACCCCUGCGGCCCACCUGCCUGACUGCAGCCUUGGAUGCCAGCGCCCAUCCCCACGGAAGAGUGGCUGUGCAGGGCUGUGCAGGGCGGCGGCGCUGAAAUUCAUCCCGGUGCUUCCUCCACGCGGCUGGAAUCCUGGUCGGCUGUUUAAGAGCCCAAUGUUUACUGGAGGGGAGACCUGCAGAGGUGCCUGGUGUGGGGAGGCUGCUGAGUGCCUGUGUUUGAAUCUGUGGAUAGCUGAGCCCCACCACCUCUGGGGUACACAGGAAAAGGCCUGGCCCAGGAGAAACAGCUUGUGGGGCAGAUGAGCUGGCCACGCCCCACCAAACUCACUCCAGACUUUGGUUCUGUGACUUUCCCCUUUUCCUGAAAUCUUUUUUUCUUUCCUUUUCUUUUUUUCUUCUUUUUUGAGACAGGGUCUUGCUAUGCAGUUCAGCCUGGCCUUGAACUCACUGUAACCCAGGCUGGCCUCAAACUCACUGGGAUCCUCCUGCCUCAGCCUGCUGAGAUUACAGGCAUGUGCCACCAUGCCUGGCCCCUCAGUCCUUAUAGACUGUUAGAAGAGCACAACAAAACCUGAAAACAUGAGAUCAGUCCUGAAGGAAAACUGAAUGUCAGACCUACCUGGCACCACGUUUAAACAGCUCUGCCCAAUAAAUGUCCCUUUCCAGGUGACUGGCUUA